rnacentral:rRNA from 1 species
GAAUCUGUCCGUCGGUCGGGCUUCACGGUCCGUACUGGUGUGAUGGGUUUCUACCUUCUGAAUAGCCGGCAUGUCAUUAAUUUGGUGCGCCGGUGAAGCAGAACUAUUACCUUGAAAAAAUUAGAGUGUUUAAAGCAGGCAUUUUUGCUUGAAUACAUUAGCAUGGAAUAAUAAAAUAGGACGGCAUGGUUCUAUUUUGUUGGUUUCUAGGAUCACCGUA